CAAAGCAUUGUCCCGUCUCUUCAUCGGCUUCCUCACCCCCAUAUUCUCCUCCAUCUGAUACACCAGCCACCGUAGCCGCCGCCAUGGGUAAGUAGGAGGUGUCAACAGCCUUGGAAAUCAAGUUUCAAAUUUGGUGAUUCCCCAAAGCUAUGAAGCUAGAGCUGGAACCCUAGAAUCAGGAGCUGGAACUCUAGAAAUCUGGAGGUGGCAAGUCUAGUACCUAUAUGGUUCCUUGAGUUGCUAGAUACAUAGAUAAACAAGGGAGAGAGAGAAAAAGAGGGUUUUGGUAUCUUAGAAGUGGAGGAGUAAAAAGUCAGGAACUUGUUUUCAUCCGGAUACUUAACGUGAAAAUCAAUCGAGGUGACAAAUAAAUAAGUUUGAAGUUAUUUUACUGCAAGG